UUGGUUGGGGGUAAGCUGCCCGGCGGGUACAUCCAACAAGAUGGCGA
rnacentral:tRNA from 1 species